ensembl:lncRNA
CUUUCUCCCUGUACACAGGACCAAAAGUGCAGGCACAUCAUUUAUUGAUAAGACAAAAAGAAUGUAAUGAAAUUAUCAAUGUUCUUGAAUUAAUUAUGAACAUGAUUAAGAAAGCUAAAAUCUCAGGAGCCAGGAUCUCAUUACCCAUUCAGUCUUAGGGAUUGCUUUCAUUCAGCAAGGCAAAAAGGCUUUGAGCAGUCCCACAAUUGCCUUAGUCUCAUUUAUUUGUGGUAGUAUUAAGGUUUAUUUGUUUUCUGGUUUGCACUUCUUCUGAAAUUAUUUCUUAGUUUAUUCAUUUAACAAAAUGUUCCUUCCUAUGUCAAAGAAGAAAGUGCCUACAAGGCCUAGAUAGGUUCUUCAGUCUGCAGACCUCCCUUUGAGAACAUUUCUUCCAACUCACAUUGCUGGAGCUCCUAAAUAUCUUUCAAGCUUCCAGGAUCUUUGCAAGCAUUUGGGACAAGUUCUUCAGUUAAUUCCAAAGCAGGGCUCCUCCAUUCUUUGAAGCUCAAGAAAUAUAUCACAGUUGUUUUUUUGGGGGGAUCAGGCUCUUCUCUGCAUGAUUUCUGCAUCAGCCAUUCCGGAAAUUUGAAGAUGAGUUGUCUGCAAAAAGAAAAAGAAACAAAACUUCUCUUGUGAAACUUUCUCACCUUUCUGACUGGAUGAAGACAGGUCCUGAAACAUGCCGGGCUGAGAAGAGCUACUCAAAAAAAUAAUUGAACAUGCUGGCCUAUUUACUUACUAUUUACUUUACUUCUUACUUAAGAAGUUCCAAGAAUAUCACUGCUAAGAGUCCUGGCUCAAGCCCUGCAAUGAUGUCAACAACAAAUAACAUUUCCAGUCCAGGAUGAACAUAUGCAUCCAUUUUUUCAGCAAGGAGUAGAAGUUUCAGGAGGUUGUCAAUUUGAAGAUAUUCUCAUCUUAAUCAUUACAUCAUUUGCUUUGUUCAUUAUUAUCCAGGUGACACCAAGGAAUUGCAUAAAUAAGGAAUACUGCCACGCAAAUGAUGAGGUACAGCAAAUGACAUCAGCAAAUUACAAAACAGCCCCUGCAAGUUAUACAAGGAGACAGAGAAUCCAUUCCACAUGAUCAGGAAGAACAAAGUGAUAAUAAAAGCAGGUUUUAUGGAGGUUAUGUCUCACAGCUCUUUAGGUCAGAUAAUAAUGUGCUAUGUCAUUAAGAUGUGGUAUCACUUUCCU